AUUGAACGCUGGCGGCAUGCCUUACACAUGCAAGUCGAACGGCAGCAUGAUCUAGCUUGCUAGAUUGAUGGCGAGUGGCGAACGGGUGAGUAAUACAUCGGAACGUGCCCUGUAGUGGGGGAUAACUAGUCGAAAGAUUAGCUAAUACCGCAUACGACCUGAGGGUGAAAGUGAGGGACCGCAAGGCCUCAUGCUAUAGGAGCGGCCGAUGUCUGAUUAGCUAGUUGGUGAGGUAAAGGCUCACCAAGGCGACGAUCAGUAGCUGGUCUGAGAGGACGAUCAGCCACACUGGGACUGAGACACGGCCCAGACUCCUACGGGAGGCAGCAGUGGGGAAUUUUGGACAAUGGGCGAAAGCCUGAUCCAGCAAUGCCGCGUGUGUGAAGAAGGCCUUCGGGUUGUAAAGCACUUUUGUCCGGAAAGAAAUGGCUCUGGUUAAUACCUGGGGUCGAUGACGGUACCGGAAGAAUAAGGACCGGCUAACUACGUG
rnacentral:rRNA from 1 species